rnacentral:rRNA from 1 species
CCUACGGGAGGCAGCAGUGGGGAAUAUUGGACAAUGGGGACAACCCUGAUCCAGCCAUGCCGCGUGUGUGAAGAAGGCCCUCGGGUUGUAAAGCACUUUCAGUGAGGAAGAACGCCUGGUGGUUAAUACCCAUCAGGAAAGACAUCACUCACAGAAGAAGCACCGGCUAACUCCGUGCCAGCAGCCGCGGUAAUACGGAGGGUGCGAGCGUUAAUCGGAAUUACUGGGCGUAAAGCGCGCGUAGGUGGCUUGAUAAGCCGGUUGUGAAAGCCCCGGGCUCAACCUGGGAACGGCAUCCGGAACUGUCAAGCUAGAGUGCAGGAGAGGAAGGUAGAAUUCCCGGUGUAGCGGUGAAAUGCGUAGAGAUCGGGAGGAAUACCAGUGGCGAAGGCGGCCUUCUGGACUGACACUGACACUGAGGUGCGAAAGCGUGGGUAGCAAACAGGAUUAGAUACCCUAGUAGUC